rnacentral:lncRNA from 1 species
GGGAAUCUUUUCAACAGAAUCUCCAGGUAAACCCUUUGCCCCGCCUGUAUCGAAAAUGUUAGGGAUCUCUUCAUAUGCAGUUUCAACAGCUCCCAUCUGUCCAACAAAAAGCCCGCGUCAUAAUUGAAGGUAAAUCAAGUUUCAGGUAAUUCAUCUAUAGGUCAACCAAUGAAGCUGCAACAUACCUGACUCUGAACUGCACUUAGCAUGAAUGUAAUAGGGAUCUCUUCAUAUGCAGUUUCAACAGCUCCCAUCUGUCCAACAACAAGCACGCGUCAUAAUUGAAGGUAAAUCAAGUUUCAGGUAAUUCAUCUAUAGGUCAACCAAUGAAGCUGCAACAUACCUGACUCUGAACUGCACUUAGCAUAGCUGGACCAAUCCGCUCACGAACUAGUCUACCGCUUAACAGGCUUGUUAUUACAUCA